GACGAACGCUGGCGGCGUGCCUAACACAUGCAAGUCGAGCGAAGUUUUCAAAGUAGAUUUCUUCGGAUUGAAACUUUGAUUAUCUUAGCGGCGGACGGGUGAGUAACGCGUGAGAAACCUGCCUUUCACAAAGGGAUAGCCUCGGGAAACUGGGAUUAAUACCUUAUGAUACUAAUUUUUCGCAUGGAAGAUUAGUCAAAGCGCAAAGCGGUGAAAGAUGGUCUCGCGUCCCAUUAGUUAGUUGGUGAGGUAACGGCUCACCAAGACCGCGAUGGGUAGCCGGCCUGAGAGGGUGAACGGCCACACUGGAACUGAGACACGGUCCAGACUCCUACGGGAGGCAGCAGUGGGGAAUAUUGCACAAUGGAGGAAACUACUGAUGCAGCGACGCCGCGUGAACGAUGAAGGCUUCGGGUCGUAAAGUUCUGUCCUAAGGGACGAUAAUGACGGUACCUUAGGAGGAAGCCCCGGCUAACUACGUG
rnacentral:rRNA from 1 species